GAGCCUGCGUGCAGUUUGAGUUUGCCGUAUUUUCUGGUUUUGCUCUGUCAGUGAAACUGCUCCGUCAGCAUGGGUCCUGGAGUUCUGGGGAGAGGGCACCAAACCAGCCUGAGACAGACAUGAACAGGUCAGCCGCUUUGGACCCAGAGAAGAGCAUGUCUGAUUGCAUGCGGGUUGAUGCCCCAGGUCCCGCCUCUGAGAAAAAGGUAUCGGACGGGUCUGAUGCUCUUUGGGUGGAUGACACCUAAAUGAACAUCGGUACAAAGUCCCAAUUUAUUUCUAAUAUCAGAGAUCAGACCUCUACUCUUGCCUGAUGCGUCUAAAACAAAAAGGGGGAACUGUAGAGAGCUGCGGAAUGCUAUGCCUUAAAGAUGGAGCUGGUUUCCGCCUUCCACCUUCCCGAUGGUCAAAUCUGGAGACCUACCACCAAAUAUAUAUACAUAUAUAUAUGUAUAUAUAUGUAUGUGAUGUAUGUGUAAACUUACAUCUAAAAUAGCAAGGUUGAGGCCAAGUGCUUUAAUCUCAGCACUCAGGAGGCAGAGGAAAGCAGAUCUACAGAGUUCAAGGCCAGCCUGGUCUACAGAGUAAGUUCCAAAACAGCCAGAGCACACAGAGACCUCGUCUCAAAAAAAACAAAAAAGAUUGAAAUAAAUAUUUAUUCAAUAAGUACAUGUGGGCUUCUGAGAACUGUAAAUGCAAUUUGUUUGCUAAAACUGUUUGUUCUGAUAUGUAUUUUUAGUGCUUUUUAAAAAAGCUAAGUGCAGCACAGCCAACCAAUAAUUGUGCAAUAAUACUCAGAGAAAGAUGGUAGCACAGGUCAAGGUUGUUUGGAAUUCUUUUUCCUUUGGGCAUUUUUUUAAAUAGGAAGAUAAGUUUUAACUCAUCAAAAAGAAAGAAAGAAAAUAAAAAGAAAAAAGAAAAACUGUGCCUUAGCUCACUGUUAUAUUAAUAGAAUGACUUUAAAUCAUGCUGAAGUGUAACCUUCAAAAAUUAAUUUACCAGCACAGAAGGCAUUACAAUAUCUACCUCAUAUUGAUUAUCAUAGUUAAUCUUCACAGAUAUCUUGCAAAACAGAUAUGAAUAUCACCUUUAGAGAUAAGGCAAUGUGGACUAACAAGUUUAAAUAAUUUGAGCAAAAUCACACAGAAAAUCCCAGCACUCAGGAGGCAGAGGCAGGCGGAUCUCUAUGAGUUUAAGGCCAGCCUGGUUUACAAAGUAAGUUCUAAGACAGCCCAGGCUACACAGAGAAAUUCUUUCUUAUAAAACAAACCAAAAAAUCACAAAGAGAAAUAAGACCAGAAUUUGAGCAUGUCACUCUGCUCCCGGGCUUUUAUUCUGUCUGUUCAAUGUGAACACUCAAGUCAUACUUUGGGGGCUAGAGUCCAUAAUAUGACGUGUUUGUCUUUUCUCGUGUCUUGCUGUCUCACUUACUGUUCUAUUGCUAUGAAGAGACACUGUGACCAAGGAAUCUCUCACAAAGUAAAGUAUUUAACUGAGGCCUUUCUCUCAUAUUUGGAGGAUUAUAGUCUAUUAUCAUCACAGUGAGAAUAAAGACAUGCAGGUAGGCAUGGUGUUGGAAAAGUCACAUCCUAAACCCAAAUUAGUAAGCAGAGAGAGAGAAAGAGAGAAAGAUCCUCAGCUUCGUGUGGGCUUUUGAAGCCUCAAAUAUAUACACAGCGAUUCACUUCCUUCAAGACCACACCUACUCUAACAAGGACAUACCUCCUGGUCCUUCUAAUCUUUUCAAACAUUUCCACUCCUUCUUGACUAGGUAUUCAAAUAUAUGAUCCUAUUGGAGCCAUUCUUAUUCAAACCACCACACUUAACUUUAGAGCACUUUUGAAAACAUAUCUCCACAUAUAUAAUGCUGUCUUAUGAAGUUAUUCAAAGUUAUAAUUCUAAAAAAAGGGGAAGGCAGCUUUAGUUAUUUGAGAAAACACCCUGAAUAUAAAGUUUUGCUAUUUCCUAUAGUUUUGAAUAUGUAAUUGGCACCAUACUCCUUCCUAGCUUGCUACACAAAGUCAUCCUGUGGUAAACUUCACAGGAACACUCUAUGUCUCCAAAUAUAAUUUUUAAAUUCUUUACCCCAGUAUUCUACCUAUUCCCAUAAUGUUUAUUCUGAUCAAUAACAGUUGUUUGUAUCUUGCUAAUAGACUCAAAACUAUAUGUUCUCUUGUAAGCUGUAUAUAUCCAAAGCAACUGUUCUCCAUCACUGUCUUGAAGAGCCUCCAUGUUGCUGUGAGGGGAUGGGUGGUAGAGAGAUGAAAUCCCUGCCUGAUGUGACCUGACAGCACUUCCUCAAUGCCUCCCACACUUAGAAGAUCACUAGGUUGUGUUCUCACUCAUGGGAUUCACUCACAUAGCCACUUCAAUUAUCAAACUGCUUAUCACCUGGUAUAGUUCAGACAGGUACUGGAUGAGGUUCCUCAUGGAACCAGAAUCAACCUUCCCUUGAUACACCGACCUAUCUACAAACAAGCUUUUUACCUACUCAGAUACUUAUAUAUUCUUCAUCAAACAUGAGCAUUUUGUUGACAUCUCACUUGGUUUAAAUUUCUCCCGAGUCAGUCCUCAGGUUUUAAUAACCAUUAAAAUAAGAAGUAAAACUUUCCUUCUGUGCUUUUAUGAAUAAAAUCAGUGGCAGAGACUGAGUGACUCUAACAUUUUCCUCACAGUUUUGAAAGCUGAGAAGUCCAAGUUUGGGGUGACAACAUAGCUAUAUUUUGUAAAACCCCUUCCACUAUAUUUUAUAGUUUGUGGUGUCCUCACAUGGCAAAGAAGAAAGGGAAAUGAGUUGUUCUUACAAGACGGUAAUCCCUUUCUAGACUACUCUGUCCUGAAGGUUUAAUUACUUUUCAAAGGUCCUACCUUCAAAUAUUAUUACAUAGGAGGUCAGAGUCAUAUAAAUUUUGGGUAGACACAAAUAUUCAGCCUAUAGGUAUAUAAUAUGCCAUUUAUAAAUAUAGAUGUGCAAAUGUCAUGGAAAAGCAGACUCAAAGUAAAUGGUUGCAUUUGAGUGGUGGUCAAAACCAAAGCAUGAAGUCAUGAAGGUCUAAUUUGGCACAGCUCCAAACGGAACUAGUUCUCUAGACUCCACUGUGCCUGUUAUCUACUGUUGUUAGCUUAUCCAGUAAUUCUUGUAGUAGUAGUUAUCCUUCAAGAGUAUAGAUGACAUGUGAUUUUUUUUUAUCUGCUUAAAGACAGGAAUGUCUUUAAGGGGCUUAUGAGGGGAGACAAAGUUUCACCAAUGACUUUAUCUAUGGUGUUGGUAUAGUGUUCUUUCAGAAUGUAUACAAUUUACCUUGUUCAUUCAAAUGCUGAUUUCUCUCCCUCACUAUCUGGUUUCAAUUUGGGCAUUGCAUUGUGAUGCUUACUCUAAGCAUCACCUGUCUCAAGUUUGUGUAAACAUGUCACCGUUUGUUCUCUAUAUUGUCAAUUAAAAAACAACCAUCCACAAUUCUGAGCAAUGGAGAGGGUGGGACAUCCUGGUUCGGAGUGGGAAGAAGAGGAAGGAAGGAGAAGAGGAGAAGAGAGAAUCCAGAGGAGAGGACUUGGAACCACUUGGAGAGAUGGGACCAGACCUAAGAAAUGACUAAAAGCAAGUAUAAUGGGUGAAAUCUGAAUGGUAGGAAACUAUGUGGGCUUGAGGUUUAGGAUGGAAUAACUAUUGCCCAGCAUUGUGCUCUAGGUUAAUUAUAUAAUUCUCAGUCUCUGUGUGGUGAUUUCAGUAUAUAGCUGGUUUAGGAAUAACUGCAGCUUUACUAAAAAAAUAUAUAUCUAUAAUAAAUAUUAAUAAUGAUAACACUAUGGUUUGGUUUCUAUUCCCUUAUGAAACAACUGUAAGUUUUAUUCAUAAAGAACGAAUCACCUGAGAAAGUCAGUAGGCUUUGUGGACAGCAAGAAACAACCUUUGGCUAAUAUGGCUGAUAUCUAGUGUUUAAAAACUCCCCUAUCAAUGGACUUGGGGAGGGGCAUGAGUGAAGAAGGGGGAGGGAGAAUGUGGUCAGGAGGGGAGGAGGGAGGGGCUUAUGAGGGGAGACAAAGUGAAUAAAGUGUAAUUAAUAAAAAAUAUGUAUAUAUAUUAAACAAUUUUAAAUAUAAAUAAAUAAAUAAUGAACCACAAUACCAAUCAUGCCCUAAUAUUCAAAUUAACAUAAGUGGUGGUUAUUUAAAUGUAUAAUAUGUGGAUUUUAAAGUCACUGAUGUUUGCUCUUAAGUUCAUAGUGAAUACUCUCACAUCUGUAAGAGUUUUUUGGUUUGUCUGGUCUUCUGCUCCCUAAUAAAAUUUUCAUCUUUGUAAAAAAAAAAAAAAAAACAAAAAACUAGUCCUAAUUAUUGGCCAUACCACACAGAGAACAUUUCAAAUUUAUCCCAAGACAGGAUAUUGUUAAAAUCAAACUGAUAAAGAAGAAAUGACUAGUUUAAAGUUGAGUUAUAAACUUUGAACUACAAGGAGUGGCAAACUAGACUUAAGGUAACAGUCCAAUUCCUCAUGGGUUUAUGCCGAUAGAAAGAAGCAUGGGUACAAAAGAAAAUAACAGCAGGAAAAACAACCAGGGAUGGAUUUGAUACCCAAGGUCUUCCCGCAGUGGCCUGGGUGUGGAGUGAAGAGGAAGAAGAGAUUCUUCCUGGGAGAGGAAGAAUCCCCAAACACUAAGUAGUAUAUAGACAUGUAGUUCUCAUUAAUUUAUUUGAAGAAAUAAGCGGCCUGUAACUAUUUACUAUCAUUCCUUCCUUAUGUCUCUCUGUAUUUUAUGUUAUCUUUACUGGGUAUUAUUAUUAUUAUUAAAUUAAAUUUUAUAUCGUUUAUUAAUAAAAUAAAAUGUAUUCAUUAGAAUAAUAUAAGCUUACCUAUGAAUUUGUUUUGUAACAAACUACUAGUUUAAAUGUACUAAUGCUUUCAGGCUAAAAAAGUCAUAUAGAAAGUUUUUUUCCCUGCAGCUGAAGAAGUGAGAAAUUAUCACUAUAUGCAGAGAAAAAUAAACGGGAACUCCACAAAACCAAUACUGCCAAGGGGCUAGCAGCCAAACAUGUUAACAUUGACCCAUUUGCUACAAACACGACUGAGACAGGGAAUUAAUCAUUAAACAUCAUUCUGUUCAUUAAAUGAUGACUCCCAUUGAAUUAUUUCUUUUUUUAAUUUUAAUUUUAUAUUAAUUAUAGUUUAUUCACUUUGUAUCCCAGCUGUAGCACCCUUCCUCAUUCCCUCCCAAUCCCACCCUCCUCCCCUCAUCUCCUCCAUGCCCCUCCCCAAGUCCACUGAUAGGGGAGGUCCUCCUCAUUGACACUAACAGCAGCUGUCACAUUUCUCCUCUUACCUUGGAUCACAAUUAAUGAUUUAUCUCACCAAAGAUUUUUCUAAGUAUUAAGUAAAAUGACCUUAGCCUUAUGCUUUAUUAUCUUGUCUAAAUUGCUUAUACCAAAGCCCAAGUAAAUGCUUUAUAAGUUUUCAAUUUCUUUACUUUUGUCCCACAUUGAGGAUAUGUAUGUAUGUAUUUAUGUAUGUGUAUAUAUUUAUACAACUUUAUAAAUAUACAUUUAUUUGCAUAUUAUAUAUUUAUAUGUAUGUAUGUAUGCAUUUGCCCUCUUUGGGUCUUUGUUUCUGAAGGAACCUAUGUUAUAUGAAACUCCCAUAGAUACAUUUAUUUGCUUUCUUAUAUCAAUCUGUCCCUGGCAAUAGGUCUCGAGCCACAGGACCCAAGAUACAGAAUAAAGUGCAUCUUUUCUGUUUACCUAUGGUGCGGUGUGCUGUCCACCAACCUGUAGCAACCCUGCUCUCUUGAUUCGUACUUGUGACCUUGACCAGAUCUGACGUAGGUUGUAGAUGUAAAUGUCUACAGGAAAAUAAGAUUGGUACGUGAAAUUGCACUGACAGUUUGACGCCAGUGUGCUGACAGCGGUUCAGCUGCAGGAUUUUGUACUGCAUGAAUCACGGCAGCUCUAGCUUGUUUACUGCACGGCCCUGAACAACAGACAGCCUGAGCCUGUACCAGCUCUGCUUUGCUCUUUGCUGACCUCUCAGACCCCAUUACUUACAAAAGGUGUAUUUUAGUCCACUAAAAACUAAAUGUAUAGCUUAUGUGGGAAAUGCCAGAACAAUCAUACAGACAUGCUGAGUCUGUGUGUGGAUUAUGUUUCAAACAGCACAGCCAGUUUUAUCCUAAUGAUUUAUAAUACCUCUUUUAUGUGGAAUAACAAAGUGCGUGAAUUAAUCAGGAGAAGGAAAAUAUAAUUCUAUUAUCAUCAAAGAAAGAAACUUAUUUCUGAACAGCCUCUGGCACAAAAUCUCCCGCUAUCAAGUUGGGUGAAUGACUAGCUGAUGUGAGAUGGGAGGAAAAGGAGUUGACUGAGGUGAUCUCUCAUAUGUGUAACUAUCAAGUAUGAGUCAUCUGGAUAUCAAUGAUAGGAAAGGGAAAUGACAAUAAAGACCUCGAUGUAUGUGACUAUCCAAUAGCUUACUGGGUCCAGGCCAUCCUAUCCAUGAAAAUCUCAUUGGUCACCAUCUACAUAGUGCAAAGGAGACCUUUGACUCUGUAUUUGGACUCUUCUACACUUUUCAAGACUCUACUGUUAUCAGAUUCAAAGGGAGGGGUGAUAUCCUCAGAGGUAGCACUCAACCCACUCUGGAGCUAACAGCCAGUAGUAUCCUUCUGCUGUGAACAUAUUGUUUCUACUGAUGUAUGAGAUGCUCUUUAAGCCUCCUGGAAGAUAAAUAUCUUUAUCUUUAAAGAUAUCUUUGUCUUUAGAAUCUAAAAAUAUUCGACUUUGGAACUAGGUUAUCAUCUGACUCCCAGUGAACCUCUGACUAUGACUUAUUCAGGAAAACUUGACAUGGGUACCUUCCGCAGAGUAUGAGAUGGAACUAUCCUCCAUUGAGGAUGCUUCUUCAGUUAAGGUUCCCUUCUCCGAAUGGUGUGGAAUCGUGUGUACUGCCUGAGCACAUGAUCUGAAAGUAUAGAUACUGACCUAUAUACACUCUAAGUCCGGGGGGAUAAUAAGACCUCUGCCCUACCACUAUCUAGUCCCAGUAGAACACUGAAUAAAUCUUCAACUGAAAAAAGAAAGACAUUUAAAGAUAAAGUCCACCCUAUAACCUAAUUCCAGGUGUGAAAACCCCAGUACAAAAAUCAUAAAAACUCUCGACAAUACACCUCCUGGAAAGUAAUUGAUUACAUGGUACUUAGUUCCAAUGACAGUGAACUGAAUAAAAUAACAGAUGAAGAACUUAAAAGAAUUAUUAUAAGAUAUUUCAGCAAAUCAAAAAGGAUACAACUAACCCCCUGAAUAAAGUCAUAGACAAUCCAAAUGAGAAGCUAAAUGAAAUAAAGAUGUCAGUACAAUGUAUGAAAGAGGAAGCCAGUCAACACAUAGUGGGUUCCAUAGUAAUGGGAACAGGGACUGCCUCUGACAUAAUCUGAUAGGCCUAUUCUUUGAUCACCUCCCCUUGAGGGGUGAGUAGCCUUACCAGGCCACAGAAGAUGACAAUGCAGCCACUCCUGAUGAGAUCUGAUAGACUAAGAUCAGAAGGAAGGAGAGGGGGACCUCCUCUAUCAGUGGACUUGGGGAGGGGCAUGAGUGAAGAAGGGGGAGGGAAGGUGGGAUUAGGAGGAGAGGAGGGAGGGGUUUAUGGGGGAUACAACGUGAAUAAAAUGUAAUUAAUAAAAGUUAAAAAAAUUAAAAAAGAAAUAGUGAAAAAAUAAAAAAGUUAAAAAUGAAAACCUCACUCAAUAAAGUAAAAAUCUCAGUGGAAAUAGAGAGGAUCUUCAGGAAGGUGGACUAUCAGAGCCUGAAGACAAAUGUAUGUGAAUUAAAAUGUUCACACAACAAAGACACAAUAAUGAUAAGGUAUAAACAGAACAUACAAGAUUUGCAGGACAUCAUUAUAUGACCAAGUAAAUGAAUCAUGGGCAUAGAAAGGGAGAAAAAAUAUAAGAUAAAAAAGUAUAUUCAAUAAAACAAUAGCAAAAGAAAAUCCAAAUCUAGAGGAAAAGAUGGCUAUGCAGAUACUGGAAGCAUUUGGAAUGUCAAACAGAUAAGCCCAGGGGGGAAACUAUACAGAACAAAGAAAGUACUUUGGAAGUCACAAGACAAUAUUAUUAAGUCACACAAUAGCAAGCCCAUUAGAAUAAUAGCAGAUUUCUCAACAGAAACUCUGAAAGAAGAGCAUGGAGUGAUGUAUUUCAAGCUUUGAAACACAGUAACUGCCAAACCAAAUUACUGUAUAUACCAAAACGAUCCAUCAUAAUUGAAUGAGAAAGAAAAACCCUGUGAUAAACAAAAACUAAAGAAAUUUAUGACCACUAUGCCAGCACUAUAGAAAAAUACCUACUCACUAAAGAGAGAAAUAAAUGUACCCAUGAGGCCACAGGAAAGAAUAAACUGUACUAUACUACCCUAUAUGCAAAUUAGGAUCAGAAACACUGCAAAGACAGCAAAAUGUUGGAAAUUAACAAGAACUCUCUAUCAAUAACAAUUCCGAAUGUUAAAAUAACCUCAAUACCCCAACCAAAUGGCACAGACCCAAUGGUUGGAUUUAGCAAUAGAAGCCAUGUAUUGUGACACACAAAACCACAGCUCAUUAGUAAGGACAAAAAAUAAAAUAAAAUAAAAUAAAAUAAAAUAAAAUAAAAUAAAAAGACUUAGAUGGCAUUCCAAGGAAAUAGAAGUAGAAAACCCACACAAUAACAACAACACACCAAAAUGUAGCUACAUUAGUAUCUGGAAAAAUUAGAGUUCAAAACAAAAGUAGUCAGAAAAUACAAAGAAAAUAAGCUCAUAAUGAUGAUUAAGGGAACAUCAGUAAACCAAAUUUCAUUUGAAAAAAAAAGGGUAUUGCUAUAUGUAAAGUUGCACGCUGAUUUCAACACUGUAAUAGUGGGUGACUUGAAUAUCCCCUUUCACCAAUAUAUAGAUCACCUAGACUAAAAAUCAACAAAGAAAUAUCAGAGCUAAGUGGUAUGAUAAUUCUAAUGGACUUAACAGAUUAGAUUCAUGAUAGGUAGGUAAGUAGAUAGAUGAUAGAUAGAUGUUAGAUAAAUAGAUAGAUAGAUAGAUAGAUAGAUGACAACCUGUUAAAAUGUAUACACUUUAAAAAAUUAGACAGGUCCCAAAUAAAAAAUUUAAUAAUACAUCCCCAUCUCCAUGGAGAAAAAAGAAAAGCCCAACCCAAAAUCAGGAGAUAGAAGGAAAGAUCAAGGCAUAAAUCAUUGAAAUGGAAAUGCAAAGAACAAUACAAGGAAUCAAUGGCUCAAAUAGUAGGGUAUGUGGAAUAAUAAACUAGAUUGCAAGCUCUUAGGUAAAUUGACUAAAACAGAAAAGACCUGAAUUAGUGACGUUAGGUAUGAAAAGGGAAACAUUUCGAAAGAUAUCAAUGAACUUCAAACCAGUAGGGAAUGACUUGAAACCCUACAUUCUAGUAAAUUGGAAAAAUCUAAAAGAAAUGGGUAAAUUUCUAGACAUAAAAUGUAGCCAAAUUCAACCAAGAAGAAAUGAACAAGUAGAUACAAAACAUACAACAAUAAUGAAGUAAUUUAAAGGCCCCUAGUUUGCAGGACAUGGUGGUGCACGCCUUUAAUUCCAGCACUCACAAGGCAGAGGCAGGAGGAUCUCUGUGAGUUUGAGACCAGCCUGGUCUACAAAGUGAGUCCAGGAUAGCCAAGGCUACACAGAAAAACCCUGUCUCCAAAAACAAAACAAAAAAACAAAAAAGUCCCCCAACUAAAAUAGCCCUGGCUCAGAUGGAUUCACAGAUGAAUUUGACAAGACCAUUAUAAAAUAUUUAAUGCCUGUGUCCUAUGAACUUCAUGAUAGAAAGCUAAUUCAUUUUACAAAUAUAGUACUACUUUGAUACCAAAACAACAACAACAACAAAAUGUCCACACAGCAAAAAAGAACUAAUCCUCCCUCCUUAAUAAAAAUAAACACACAAAUUCUUUUAUUUUGAAUACUGGCAUGGGGGUGGAAGGAUUAAAGACUGGCUGUUACACUGGCUGCACUUUCAGAAGACCUGGGUUUGAGUCCCAGCACCCACACAGUGGCUCACAACUAUCUGUGACUCCAGUUCUAGGGGAAAUCUAAUACCCUUUUCAGGCUUCCACAGGCACCAGGCACACACAUGGUGCACAGGCAUAACACAGGCAAAACACCUGCACACAUAAAAUAGGUUAAUUAUUUUUUUAAAUGUUGAUAGCCAAGCAUGGUGGUGCAUGUCUCUAAUCCCAAGAUUUGAUGGGAAAGCCAUGUGGAUCUCUGAGAGUAUAACAUAAUCAUGGUCUUUAUAGAGAUUCCAGGCUGGCAAGAGCUACAUAGAGAGAUCUUGCCUCAAAAAUACAUAUACACAUACAUACAUGCAUACACACAUACAUGUAUACAUACAUACAUGCUACUAGCAAACGCAAUUUAACAAUACAGCAGAGAGCUCAUUUACUCUAAUCAAGUUGGCUGUCUUCCAUGGAUACAAAGAUGUAUCCAUUUGUGUAAAUAUAAAUGAAAUAAUUCAAAUGAGCACACUCAAAGUCAGAAAUCGUAUAAUCCAGUCAAUAGAUGCAGUAAAGGCCUAUGACAAAGUCUGACAUCUCUUCAUAAUAAAAGCCCUGAUGAGACCAGAAACAGAAGGGAUAUAAACCAAUCUCAUUAGGCUAUAUAUGCAAAACUUAAUGGGGAAAAUUAAAAGCAUUCCCUCUACAAUCAGGAAUAAAUUUCUACUUUCUUCAUUCUUUUUAAAUUUACUUCCUGAAAUCUUAGCUAUAUAAAUAAGAUAAAAGAAUAAAAUAAAGGUGAUACAAGUUUGGAAGGAAGUUUUUUUUAAUUGUCCCUACUUGUACAUGACAUGGUUCAAUAUUGAUUCCAAAAAAAAAUUUUACAUCUUAAAACACCAACAAUAGAGUAAUGGUACAAAACAACACACAAAAGCAGGUGCCUUCCCAACACCAAUAACAUGCAUGCUGAGAGAGAGUCAUGGAAUACUCCAACUCACAACACCUUCAAAAUAAAAUAAAAUGUCUCGAAAUAAACCCAACUUAGGAAGUAAAUGAAAAUUACAAUGGAAUUUUGAAAACAAUGAGGAAAGAAAUUGAAAAAGACACAACUAUAUAGAAAGACCGCUCACGCUCAUAGGUUGGCAGAAUUGAUUUUGUGAAGAACAUCUAUAUUAGUGAAAAUCUCUGAAGAUUUGAUAAAAUUUUCAUCAAAAUUCCAAUGAUAUUCUGCACAGAACUACAAAAAAUAAAAUAAAAAGGUAUACAGACACACAAAAGACUCAGAACAGCCAAAGUAAUCCUAAACACAAAAAGCAAUUCUAGAAGUAACAGAAGAUUUUAUUUCAAUACUGACACCAAAACAGACAGAUAGAUCAAGGAAUAGAAUAGCAGCUACAGAAAUAAACUCAUGCUGUUAACAGCCACGUGGUUUUUAUGAAGAAGUCAAAAAGAUAUAUUGAAGAAAAGACAACCAUUUCUGAAUUGGUAUUUUAUGUAGAAGUGUGAUACUAGAGCCGUACCACUCACCAUGGACAAAACCAACACAAAAAUGAGUGAAAUAUAACUAACGUUGUGUCCUGGCUUCGUUUCUGUUUUAAAAUCCAGAGCAAAAAGUAGCACAGGAGAGGAAGGGUUUAUCCAUUAUAGUCCAUUAUUUCAGGGAAGUCAAAAGCAGCUGAAGUACUACAUCCACGGUCAAUAGCAGAGCGAGGAUACACGCAUGGGCACUACUUACUCGCUUGAUCUCAGCUAGCUUUCUUCUCUCUCAUGUCUUCUUCUCUCCACAAGUCCCUGGCUAGGGAAUGGUGCUUCUAUGGUAAACUGGCUCUUCUCACAUCCAUUAACAAUCAAGACAAUAUCCCACAAACAUGCCCACAGGCCAGCCUGAUCUAGACAUUUCCUCAUUAAGACCCUCUGCUCACAUGGUUCUAAGAUCUGUCGAGUUAGCUGUUAAAACUAACCAGCAUCACAGGAAACUCUGAGCUGCUAAAAGAAAACACAGGGACAAUUCACCAAACUAAUGCACAAGCAAGGGGUUAUCCAUAAAUGAGAGCAAUUGUUAGGAAAGCCUACAGAAUGGGAGGGAAAGCUUCGCCAGAGGACUAACAGCUAGAAUUUUAAAAGAACUCAAAACAAUACCAAGAAACUAAAUAUCUAGGUCAAUUAGUGUGUUAAAGAAGUGAACAAACCAUCUCAAAAGUUGAAGUACAAAUAACCAAUAAACAUGGGAAAAAUGUUCAACAUUUUUAGCUGUCAGUGAAAUGCAAAUUAAAACAGCAUUGAGUUCUCCAACAGAAGGGCUAUCACUAAGAAAACAAGUAAUAAAUGCCCGUGAGGAUGCAGGGACAGGCUACCUUUAUACACUGCUGAUGUUUACUGUAUCGUCAUUCAUACUAGUUAAGUUAUGAAAUUGGCCCUGGUGUCCAUCAACUUGUGAGUUGGUUAAAAAAAAAAAAAAAAGGUGGUAUGUAUACACAGUGAAGUUUUAUAUAGUCAUAAGUAGGAAAAUGUACACAACUAAGUACUCAACAUAUUAAGUAAAAUAAGUCAGACUCAGAAAGGCAAAUACUGUGUAUUUUCUCUCUUCUUUGAAUCCAGAAUUAUUCACACACAUACACACAGAGAGAGAGAGACAGAGAGACAGAGACAGAGACAGGAAAGCUAAGGCCAGACUGGGAGAAUGAAUGUUAACGGUGGGUAUAGGAGGAGAGAGAAAUGGGAGGAGUAAAUUCAGUCAGUGUAUAGACUUAUUUGCAGGAGGGAGUCCUGCAGUACGUAUAUUGAAUAUUAGCCAGUAAACCUUUAUUUUAAAAAGAAAUACGUUAUUUAUGAAGCAAAAUAUAAUUAAAAUAUACCAAUUACUUCUCUUACAUUUUAAUUCUGUCUGUUUAAGACCUUUGGUUUAUAAACUAUUACACUGUGAGAAAACAUGGAAAAUGGUCUAACCCUUAUUCUCACAAUAAUUCUAAAGGGCUGGUGAAGAUCACGCUCAAGACCUUGCGAUGAGGCACUUCAGCACUAAACUAUAUCCCCAGCCCUUCUUACAAGGAAUACUUUUUUGCCCUAUGAUAAAUUAUUAGUUACUAACUCCCACUUGUGGCUAGAUAAGGGAGGGUUAAAAAACAACAGGGGCUUAAGAGAUGGCUCAGUGUUUAAGAGUGCUUACUGCUCUUGCAGAGGACCAGGAUUCAGUUCCUAGCACACACAUCAGGGGCUCACAACUGGCUGUAACUCGGUUCUAGAGAACCCAAUCUCUCGGAUCUCAGAGAGCAUCUACAUGCAAGUAACACACAUGAACUUGUACAGGCACAUACAUACACAUAAACAAAACACUUCAGCUAGAUUCAACUCAAAAUUGCCAGAUGGAUCAUUAUCCCCAAACUCUCCCACUCUGUCUAUCAUCAACUCACAAAUAUGAUGGUGAAAAAAAAGGGAAGAAACUUCCAUUUAAAGGCAAUUACACAUACUACACCUCAGACCAAAGCACUGGACUCAGACAACUUUUUGUUCUGAUCAAAACCCACAAGUAAAAAAAAAAAAUGUUAAACUUCCUUUAAUUUGAUAAACUAUAGGGGGAAUCCCUGGAAUUACUCACAUAAAUAAUAACCAAAUAUUUUCUCUUCAGACAGUGGAUUACACUGAAAAGGAGAUUGUCUUGUCAGCCAUGCUUGAGAGAAAAACUAUAUUGGCACAUUGGAAAAUAUGGUCAGUGCAUUUGGGAAAACUGAGAAAAAAAUAAAAACCUUAUAAAUGCUUUCUAGAAAAAAAAAAGGAAGAAGCCUGAAAAAACAAGCACCCACGUUUGACAGCCAAAAUUAUCCCUACAAACAGAAAUACACACAAACAAAACAUAUACAUAUGCAAAUAUAUGCACAGCAUACACACAUACAUACACACACACACACAACACACAUAGAUACAUACACACAUACACAAACAACACACAUACAACACACACACACCUUCAAUAUUUUUACCAGCACUUCACAUUAGCUAACAGAUGAUAAUCUAGAGAAAACCAGAGACGCUACUUGUUUUCUUGUAAAUUCUGCAUAAAAUCUAUUCAUCCCACAGACUGGAGAAUUCUAAGGGCUCUGAGAUCCAUGGACACCAUCAUAUGGACAAAUGGCAGUGUAUCUACCUGUCAAUGCUAUCACAGAAAGAUGCACAUAUCGGCCCAGCUGAAUCAGAUGUGCGUGAUCACAGACGUGGCAUGCAUCCCCUACUCAGUCAUCCAGGACAAACGGGCUCAUUUAUAUAUAUAGCUUUACCAUUUAAAAGAUAUUUGACUUUUCAUAGCAUCCUUGAUUUCUUGGAUAUUUUGUGAUUGGAACUUUUCUGAUUUUACUUUUCCUUUGAGAGAAGUAUCAAUUUCUGCAAGUGUGUCUUCAGCUCCAGAGAUUCUCUCUUCCAUCUCUUGUAUUCUGUUGGUGAUGCUUACUUUUGUGGUUCCUGAUCUUUUCUCCAAGUUCUCCAGCUCAAAGGGUUUUCUCAUUUUGUGUUUUCUUUAUUGAUUCUAAUUCUGUUUUCAUGCCUUGCACCAUUUCUUUCAUGUGUUUGAAUUUGGAUUCCUGUCUCUCUACGGUGGCCUCUAUUUCUUUGUUCAUUUCCUUUUUAUAUGCCACUAAUUUUUUCUCUACUUGUGUAUUUGUUUGGCUAUGUUUGCCUGUGUUUCUUUAAGGAUUUUUUCUAUUUCUUCUUUCUUUAGCUCCAAUUGACUGGCCAACUCUUUGAAAGAUUUGUUCAUUUCCUCCUUAUGAGCCUCAAAUAAUUGGGCAAGCAUGACUUUAAAAUCAUUUUCCUGUGCUUCUGAUGAAUUGGAGUAUCCAUUGAUUUUGGGGUUUGCUGGUGAAGUCAUGAUGUCCUGAUUUAUGUUGGAAGUGUUCUUUCGCCUACCCCUGGCCAUUGGCUUAUCUGAAACCUUCCCUGUUUGUUUUUGGAUUCUGCAGAUCAGACUAGUACUGUCUCUCUCUGGUGUCUGGAGAGUUCUUCAGGAAGCUGAGAACUCUCAGCGUGUGCUGAGGACUAGCUGUACCUGUGGGAAGAAAGUACGCAGGCGCGAACGGGGCAGAUGCAAGCGUGCACGCAUGCGCGUGUGUGUGCGUGUGUGUGUGUGUGUGUGUGUGUGUGUGUGUAAGUAUGUGUGGACGUGUGUCUCAAGGGACAAAGUGAUGGCUAAUGUUGAACCCUUGAGUGUGUGGGAGGGGCUCUGUACUGUAUAUGUCACAGGCGCUAGUGAUAGUCUUCUGAUAAUACAUUUAUAUGAAGAAAAAUCAUAUAGACUUAGUGAUAGAAUAUAGCAACGGCUUUUAAGAUGUAUAAACAGAUGUGAUAGCUUAUCAUAUUUCUUAAGCCAUGUCCUAUUAUAUUGAAUUGUAUGACAAAAAUAAUUUUAAUUAAAAUUAAAAUUCUAUGAAGCAGAAUGUGGACACUGAAAUUAAAUACUUAUUCUGAAAGCUA